CCUACGGUGGCAGCAGUGGGGAAUAUUGCACAAUGGGGGAAACCCUGAUGCAGCGACGCCGCGUGAGUGAAGAAGUAUUUCGGUAUGUAAAGCUCUAUCAGCAGGGAAGAAAUAGCGACCUUUGGGUCGCCAGACGGUACCUGAUUAAGAAGCCCCGGCUAACUACGUGCCAGCAGCCGCGGUAAUACGUAGGGGGCAAGCGUUAUCCGGAUUGACUGGGGGUAAAGGGAGCGUAGACGGCAGCGCAAGUCUGAAGGGAAAUGGCGGGGCUUAACCCCGGAACUGCUUGGGAAACUGUGCAGCUAGAGUGAAGGAGAGGUAAGUGGAAUUCCUAGUGUAGCGGUGAAAUGCGUAGAUAUUAGGAGGAACACCAGUGGCGAAGGCGGCUUACUGGACUGUAACUGACGUUGAGGCUCGAAAGCGUGGGGAGUAAACAGGAUUAGAUACCCUUGUAGUC
rnacentral:rRNA from 1 species